rnacentral:lncRNA from 1 species
UCUGAAUCCAUCUCUUGGUGCAGACUGGAGGAGGGCCGGAGGCUGGGCUUCACAGAUACUGGCAGCAGCUCCUCUGAAAUGAUCCACUUUUGAAGGCAGUCAUUCCAGGAGAGCCUGGUCCUACCUCCUUCUCUUCCUUCCGCUCUCACCUCCUCUUUCUCCUCCUCCCGUUCGUAAUUCCUCCCUCUCCUGUCCAUUCUGUCAGAACUCUGUCCGCCUGCCACGGUACAACUACCCCCCUUGUCUGACAAGCCUCAUGGUCGUUGCUCUGCCAUGAGCAGCAGCAGGGACUGCAGCUCCACUACAAGAUUACAGCAGCACAGCAUCAACCGCACAGACAGACAUCAACCGCACAGAGAGACAUCAACCGCACAGACAAAAAUCAGUGGCUGAGGCCUCCUGGACAAAUAGUCGCCACUUUGCUCCCCAAACCAGGCACACGAAUCGACACGCAAACUGAGGUGAAGAGGAAAUUCAGCAACUCUUGGGAGGAUACAGAAACAGAGGAACUAGCCCCACAGACUACACUUGGACACUACGGGGGGCUCCACAGCCUUCCAGAUUGAGAUACUUGGGCACUGUUCUCAUGAUUGCAGCCUCAGCAGCGGGGAGCUGGCUGGCUCUGGAUUCAGCUAACUGGGUUCUCAAGGAACAACAGCUAAUGGAAUUCGCUUGUGCCGAAAUCAACUAGCCUGCAUUCAACAACUGACGAUCAUCACGCCUGAGGCUGGUCUCUCCCCACGUCCACCUCGAUUUGGCCUUUGUCCAGGCGUCAACUCGCACUCACCGACUUAACCGGUGCCAACACACGUAUGUGCACACCCACUGGCAAAAUCUCUCAGAGGAGGAACGUUCUGUUUUGCAUUGUGUGACUGGAUGAACAUAAGAUGGACAGAACAGCGACAAUAUUAAGAAGAGACCGAUGCACCAUGGAACGCGGGCCAAGACGCCACACAAAAGGUAAGGAUUCUUUUCUCCCCUUACGCACCACAACAACAGACCAACUAUUCGCGAAAGGGAAACGGGUUAAUUUACGCUGUCAUCAGAUUCAGAACGUCACUACCAAAGACAGACGAAAUCGUUUUAGAAAUAACUAACUACAGUAAAUGACUAAGA